rnacentral:tRNA from 1 species
GCUUGGGUGGCUCAGUCGGUUGAGCAUCUGACUUCCGCUCAGCUCAUGAUCUCACAUUCGUGGGUUCGAGCCCCCACAUGGGGCU